rnacentral:lncRNA from 1 species
ACGGAGGCGGCGGCGGCGGCGGCGGCCACGGUGGUGGAGGAGGCGGGGGAGGAUGGUGGUAGGACACAUCAGCCGCAGCCAUUCUACCGUGUCAUCGUUCACAAGUGUCUUGAAAUAAUCGCCAAAAACUGCAAGAAGCACCCAUGGAAACCUCGUGCAAAUACAGAGAAGCAGCGCCAUCGCGUGGCAGCUACAGGAGCAAUCCAGUGUGGAUGCUCCUACCGCUGCAGAGAGCACUGCAAGUCACGAACCGCCGAUAAAAAUGAAAUACGCAUGAAUGCAAGAAGUCUCCGCGACAUGCUGUGAUAAGAGGGGGAGCCGCUAUAACCUCUGACUUCGAACGGAUUAGCCGCGACCUUGAAAGUGUCAAGUCUUCUAUGGACCGACUUCGUGAAAGAUGUUUUCCAAGCGGCGACGCUCUCGCAUGCGUUCGACCUGCCAGCCAUGACCCACAAUUGUGGAGCCAUAGUCGCAGUGACGGCACCUUUACCUCGGCUGAAAUAGGCCACAAAAUAAUAAACUAUGUCUUCUCAUGAGAGAGGCACAAAAA